rnacentral:rRNA from 1 species
AACGAACGCUGGCGGCAGGCCUAACACAUGCAAGUCGAGCGAGGACUUCGGUUCUAGCGGCGGACGGGUGAGUAACGCGUGGGAAUGUGCCCUUCUCUACGGAAUAGCCCUGGGAAACUGGGAGUAAUACCGUAUACGCCCUAUUGGGGAAAGAUUUAUCGGAGAAGGAUCAGCCCGCGUUGGAUUAGGUAGUUGGUGGGGUAAUGGCCUACCAAGCCGACGAUCCAUAGCUGGUUUGAGAGGAUGAUCAGCCACACUGGGACUGAGACACGGCCCAGACUCCUACGGGAGGCAGCAGUGGGGAAUCUUAGACAAUGGGGGCAACCCUGAUCUAGCCAUGCCGCGUGAGUGAUGAAGGCCUUAGGGUUGUAAAGCUCUUUCAGCUGGGAAGAUAAUGACGGUACCAGCAGAAGUAGCCCCGGCUAACUCCGUG